rnacentral:rRNA from 1 species
GGCCGCAGAAUUUUAACUGUGCAAAGGUAGCAUAAUCACUAGUUUUUUAAUUGAAAGCUUGAAUGAAUGGUUGGACGAGGUAUAAGCUGUUUCACAUUAAAUAUUAGAAUUUUAUUUUUGGGUAAAAAAGCCUAAAUUUUUUUAAAAGACGAGAAGACCCUAUAGAUCUUUAUAAUUAUUUUGUUUUUUUCAUUAAGAUUCUUUUGGUAAAUACAAUUUUAAUUAUUUUGUUGGGGUGACAGAGAAAUUUAUUUAACUUUCUUUAUUUUAUGAACAUUAGUGUAUGGUUUUGGUGAUCCUUUUUUAAGAUUAUAAAAUUAAGUUACCUUAGGGAUAACAGCGUAAUUUUCCUGGAGAGUUCAUAUCGAUAGGAAAGAUUGCGACCUCGAUGUUGGAUUAA